rnacentral:lncRNA from 1 species
UCACUGGGGUAAAACUGAUAUCCGUAACUGCAGUUACGUAUAUCCCAAGAUGGCAGACGAUGUUUCAGGUAAAUAUUUCUUUUGUCGAUUUUGCAAUAAAUAUGCAUCAUUCUUCGGUAUUUCGUGUCUUUUUUAACGUAUUACUAAAUUUGAAACGGGAAUAUUGACGUGUUUUGUCAUAGUUAAGCCGCCUAAGAGAGAAAUCAGCAAUCCAAAAAAACG